UGUGACGUAUGAUAUGAAGUGCUUUGGGUAUCAUCCCAGUUUUCAUCACCUUGACUCAACUAAACCGUGAGCAGGACGGAUCAGAACCCUGUCCUCCCAGCGUGUCUGGACUUCUGUCCAGUUUCCAGCGGAGCUGUGGAAUCCCAGGCUGAGCCCACACCUGCGGCUGAUAGGCUGAUUCUGGAGUACAAAGGCGGUGAUUUACGGCCCCGAUGGGCUGCAGGCCCGGCAACAGCUGCAGAGCGGCAGGAAGAGGAAGCUGUUCAUCACGCAGUCUGCAUCUCAGCGCUUCUUAUGCAGGCUGAUCAUCCACAUUCACCUCCGUGACAGAUUAGUUCCUGAAGGCGAUGGAGAGCCUUGAUGUCAGGAAGCUGUGUCAUCCUCCAUCACUGGAAAGGAGACGUCGUUCUGCGGUGAGCUCGUACAUCAGAGACGAAGCGAGGAACUGCAUCUGGACUGUGGAGUUUCAGACUGGCGAACAUGUGACGUUCAGUUCGGAUGCUUUCAGCGUUCAGAGGCGAGCUCGUGAUGGUCGUUACGUAACCACAGAGGCCGUCACGCUCCAACACUGUGCGUUGUGGUGAGUGGCUUUUC